GACGUAGGAGGCGAGCGUUGUCCGGAUUCAUUGGGCGUAAAGAGCGCGCAGGCGGUUUGGUAAGUCGGAUGUGAAAUCCCGAGGCUCAACCUCGGGUCUGCAUCCGAUACUGCCCGGCUAGAGGUAGGUAGGGGAGAUCGGAAUUCCUGGUGUAGCGGUGAAAUGCGCAGAUAUCAGGAGGAACACCGGUGGCGAAGGCGGAUCUCUGGGCCUUACCUGACGCUCAGGCGCGAAAGCUAGGGGAGCGAACUGG
rnacentral:rRNA from 1 species